rnacentral:sRNA from 1 species
UUGGUGGCCCUGGAAGUCAAACACCUCUUUUUAUCCACAGAAUCGGUGUAGCACAGGCAGUGGCAGUGCGAGCUGCCCAGAUGCAGUCAUAUCAACAUGCCUCAAGCCUAACCUGCAGGGGGUGCCUCUUUUGGCAAGAGGGAAUUCAGUCUUUGGCCAUUUAGUCCUUGGCUUCU